AUGGACGAGUCCGGAGAUGCCGGCAGGGGAGGGAGGGGCGGCGGGAGGUCGAGGCAGAAUGGGGGCCGCUCGUCGGUUCGGCUCGGCGUGCGGAUGGAGUUCAGGUUCUCCAGCUUCCACGCCGUUCAGGUACCAGUAGUAUCAGACAGGCUGCUCAUUACAAUCACAUCAGUAGACAGUGGAAAAACAAUUGCCAAGUCAAGUAAAGCGGCUGCUAUUAAUGGAGCCUGUCAAUGGCAUGACUCCAUCCUGCAAGCAAUUCGGUUUCCUAAAGAUGAAGUGUCACAAGAAUUUCAGGAGUGCCAGUGCAAGAUUGUUGUUUCCAUGGGAUCAACAAGAACUGCUGUUCUUGGGGAAGCGUACCUAAAUCUGACGAACUAUCUCAGUUCAUCAGACUCCACUGACAUCUCUUUGCCAUUGAAGAAGUGCAAUUCUGGCACAGUUUUACAGCUUAAGAUUCAAUGUCUUGGCGCAAAAUCUAAAUCAAGUGGGAAAUCAUGGAAAGAGCUAUCUUCUAAUCUUAAGGAGAGUCCAACCAAUGAUGAGAUGGACAAAAAGCCAGACGUCUUUGACAUUCUGUUGAAGUUGAACAAGGGUGCUCAAUCUUUAUCAGAAAAUAAUUUAGAAGCUGAUAAUGCAGAUGAAUCUGGAAAUAGGGAUGCAAGUUUGUCAGCAUCAAAGUCUCAUGGUGAUGAUUCAUCCAAAAAUCACCUUGACACCGCCGAAGAACAACUUGAGGAAUUACGUAACGCGGCAAAAAUGUGGGAGAGACAUUCUCGCAAGUUGAAAAUUGAACGGAAGACAUUGAAGAAUGAGUGUGCUGACAAAUCCAAGCAACAGGCUGAGCUAGAACGGCAACUUUCUGCUUCACUUUCUGAACAGGAUUCCUUGAGGCAAGAAAUUGAACAAGUAACAGCCCAACUGAACAAGACCCAAGAGACCAAUAUAGAGCUUGUUUCCAUUCUCCAAGAACUGGAAGAAACGAUAGAACUGCAGAGAGUGGAAAUGUCCAAACUUCCCCAAGUGAGUGAUGUGGCUGACCACGAGGUCUCCAAAAGUGAAUCGACAGUUCAAGAAGCUGCAGAAUGGGCUAGAAUACUGUCACAAAAAGAAGAUGAAAUCACAGUGUUGAGGGAGAAACUGAACCGUGUUCUCAAAAUGGAGAAUGCAGAUGGUGCAGGCCCAGAUGCUAUUUAUCUUGAAUUGGAAAAAGAAAAUGAUUUUUUGAAGGUCAAAAUGCAGGAGCUUGAGAAUGACUGUUCUGAAUUAACGGAGGAAAAUUUCAGGCUUAUAUACAAGUUGAAAGAAGCGAGUGGGGUGGCGAAAGAAGAGGAUCCCUGCAUUUCUAAUAGUGAAGAAAUGCCCAAUGUGGGGAGCCCAACAUAUAAGAUAAAACACCUAGAGAAAAAAUGUGCUGACCUUGAGUUGAAUCUGGAGAAUUUUAGGUCCGAGUUCAGUGGGCUAGAAGAGAAGUUCCAGAAAAGCCAAGAGGAGUUAAAAGAGAGAACACUUGAAUUAUCUGAGCUGAGGGAAAAGCUCUCCCAUGCCACUGAACUGGAGGGGGCUGACACUGGUAGUUCAAAACAUUACAGACUGAGAAGUGAAGAACCUGAUGAUACUGAAACUGACUUAGAUGUGUUGAAGCGUACAGUUCAGCUGAAAGAACAAGAGAUCGAUGGUUUGCAACACUAUACGAGAGAAAUGGAGAACACCAUUGCUGAUAUUCAGAAAGAGAAGAGUCAGUUAGAGGAACGUUUGGCAGCAUCACUUCAAGAAAGUAGCAUGACUUCAAAAUGCUUGGUUGAAGCGCAUGAAGAUCUCAUGCUUACCAGCAGUGUAGAUUCCCAUGUUUCUGCCAAUGAGGUUCUCGAAACAAAGAUCAGUGAGCUUGUGCAUACAGUUCAGCUGAAAGAACAAGAGAUCGAUGGUUUGCAACACUGUAUGAGAGAAAUGGAGAACACCAUUGCUGAUAUUCAGAAAGAGAAGAGUCAGUUAGAGGAACGUUUGGCAGCAUCACUUCAAGAAAGUAGCANNNNNNNNNNGAAAGAACAAGAGAUCGAUGGUUUGCAACACUAUACGAGAGAAAUGGAGAACACCAUUGCUGAUAUUCAGAAAGAGAAGAGUCAGUUAGAGGAACGUUUGGCAGCAUCACUUCAAGAAAGUAGCAUGACUUCAAAAUGCUUGGUUGAAGCGCAUGAAGAUCUCAUGCUUACCAGCAGUGUAGAUUCCCAUGCUUCUGCCAAUGAGGUUCUCGAAACAAAGAUCAGUGAGCUUGUGCAUACAGUUCAGCUGAAAGAACAAGAGAUCGAUGGUUUGCAACACUGUAUGAGAGAAAUGGAGAACACCAUUGCUGAUAUUCAGAAAGAGAAGAGUCAGUUAGAGGAACGUUUGGCAGCAUCACUUCAAGAAAGUAGCAUGACUUCAAAAUGCUUGGUUGAAGCGCAUGAAGAUCUCGUGCUUACCAGCAGUGUAGAUUCCCAUGUUUCUGCCAAUGAGGUUCUCGAAACAAAGAUCAGUGAGCGUGCAGUUAUGCUGAAAGAACAGGAGAUCGAUGGUUCGCAACAUUGUGCGAGAGAAAUGGAGAACACCAUUGCUGAUAUUCAGAAGAAGAGUCAGUUAGAGGAACGUUUGGCAGCAUCACUUGAAGAAAGUAGCAUGAAUUCAAAAUGCUUGGAUGAAGCGCGUGAAAAUCUCCUUGUGCUUACCAGCAGUGUAGAUUCCCAUGUUUCUGCCAAUGAGGUUCUCGAAACAAAGAUCAGUGAGCUUGUGCGCACAGUUAUGCUGAAAGAACAGGAGAUCGAUAGUUUGCAACAUUGUAGGGGAGAAAUGGAGAACACCAUUGCUGAUAUUCAGAAGGAGAAGAGUCAGUUAGAGGAACGUUUGGCAGCAUCACUUGAAGAAACUAGCAUGACUUCAAAAUGGUUGGAUGAAGCGCGAGAAGAACUCCUUGUGCUUACCAGCAGUGUAGAAUCCCAUGUUUCUGCCAAUGAGGUUCACGAAACAAAGAUCAGUGAGCUUGUGCGUACAGUUAUGCUGAAAGAACAGGAGAUCGAUGGUUUGCAGCUUUGUACUAGAGAAAUGGAGAACACCGUUGCUGAUAUUCAGAAGGAGAAGAGUCAGUUAGAGGAACGUUUGGCAGCAUCACUUGAAGAAAGUAGCACGACUUCAAAAUUGUUGGAUGAAGUGCGGGAAGAUCUCCUUGUGCUUAGCAGCAGUGUAGAUUCGCAUGUUUCUGCCAAUGGGGUUCUCGAAACAAAGAUCAAUGAGCUUGUGCGUACAGUUAUCCUGAAAGAACAGGAGAUCAAUGGUCUGCAACAUUGUACGACAGAAAUGGAGAACACUAUUUCUGAUAUUCAGAAGGAGAAGGAUCAGCUAGAGGAACGUCUGGCAGCAUCACUUGAAGAAAGUAGCAUGACAUCAAAAUGCUUGGAUGAAGCGCGAGAAGAUCUCCUUGUGCUUACCAGUAGCGUAGAUUCUCAUGCUUCUGCCAAUAAGGUUCUCAAAACAAAGAUUAGCGAGCUUGAAAGCCACAAAGUUGAACUAGAGUUGCUUGUAACAAAGCUGGAACAAGAGAAUAUUGAGUUUUCGGAGUUCAUAUCUGAACUAGAGGCUCAGUUGACUUCUCUCACAAGUGAAGAGGAGUCAACCAGGCUAGAAAUGGAUUAUUCUAUAGCACUUAUCGCAAAUCUUAAGGAUUUAGUAGAACAGCAGCAAGCAGAGAUGGAAGCUCAAAAGCUGGAAAUGAAGCAAAAGCAUUUGGAGUCCCAAACUAGAUUGUCAGAAGUACAAGAGGAUUCGGAGGCUCUAAGAAGAUCAAAUGCAAAACUACAGGCCACAAUUGAUAGUGUUGCUGAAGAAUGCAGUUCUCUUCAGACUCUAACAACUGACCUAAAGAAGCAGAAGCUGGAAUUACAUGACCAUUGUGCACAGCUGGAGCAGCAAUUAGAUCAAUCAAAAAGGAAGACAAUGGAUUUGUUCGAAACAGCAGAGUUCCUAGAGGCAAAACUCUCUACACUUCAAAAAGAGGUAACUUUAAAAGAGCAAUCUUUGCUUUCAGAGCUGGAGAAUAUAUUCCAGGAGCACAAGGAACACGAAGAAAGGAUAAAUAGUGCACAUUUCCUUUUACACAAGAUAGAGAACGAAAAGAUUGGUGAAGUGAAGAAUCUUGAGAGGGAGGUCAUGAGCCUUACUGCACAGCUGUCCUCCACAGAUGGGGAGAAAGAAAGUGCUGCCUUGGAUAGCAUACAUGAGGUCUCCAUCCUGCGAGCAGACAAGGCUAAACUUGAGGCUAACCUUGAAGAUGUCAGUGCACAAAUGAGACAUUAUCAGUCUCAGUUGGAAGAUCUUCGUACAGAGUCUAAAACCAAAAUUAAAGGCCUGAUUGAUUCGCUUAACGCAUCCAAACAUAAUGAGGAAACGCUGACAACAGAUGUUGAGCAUAUGACAAGAUUGAUGGAAGCUGCUAGAUCCAAUGAAGAAAACUUAAGGAAAACUUCAGACGAACUAGAGUUGAAGUAUAAAUCCAGUGAUUAUGAGAAACAGGAAGUAAUGGAGGAAAUUUCUGGACUAAAAAUCCAGGUUAGCAAAAUGGCAAGCAUCCAAGAUGAAGUUUUCAAACUACAAAGUUCUCUUGAUCAGGCUAAGUUUGAAAAGACAAAAUUAGAAGAGCGUAUGCAGUCACUAUCUGAAGAAUGUGAAGAACUAAAGGUGCAGAAGGCCAUGUUAACAGACAAAGUCUCUUGUAUCCAGAGUACUUUGCAUGAUGCCGAUGAAGAAAAUCGUCGUAAAUCCACUCAAGCAAAGCUUGUAGUAAAUAAGGGUAAUGACGACGCUGCUAAUGACAAUGGAGGUACUCAUGUUAAUGAAGAUCUAGACAUUCACUCAAAGCUAGAAUUACUGGAGGCUAGACUUGCUGAUGCAUUGGAGGAAAAUAAAUCAUAUAGGGCGCAGCUGCAAAGUCCAACGGGAGAGGGACAACUCGGUAGCAGGGAUGAAAAGGAUAACAAGGAUGGGAACAGGAUAGCACAACUGGAGUCAGAGCUAAAAGACAUGCAGGAUCGGUUACUCAACGUGAGCAUGCAAUAUGCAGAAGUGGAGGCUCAACGAGAAGAACUAGUUAUGGAGUUGAAAAGUGCAACUGCAAGGAAGGGACGAUGGUUCUAG
rnacentral:rRNA from 1 species